CCAUGAUAGAUUCGUCAUUGCCUUAAUUUCCUGGAUGAGCUGGUGUUUUUAGACCUAUAAAACGGCUUUCCUCGCUGCAUUCUAUAAACCAUUCUCUGCUUCUCCACACGUCCGUGUUAGUCAUUUAUACUCGGUGUUCCCCAAAGCUGAGGAAAAUGUCUUACCAGCAGUCUGAGCAAUGCAAGCAACCUCCAGUUUGCCCACCAGCAACUUGUGUGACUCCAGAUCAGCCUUCAGUAUGUUCUAAGCCCUACCAGCCUCCAACAUGCCAUGGCUCUGGUGGCAGCACGUGCCAAGAAGUUGGUGGCAGUGAUUGCCGAUCAGCAAGUCCCUGCCAUGAGUCCACUGGAAACCUAUCCCAAUGUCCAUCAAGCAAAGACGAUGAGCACUGGAAACAUCAUGGUCACCAACAGCCGAAGCAAUGCUAACCUCCACAGAAGAGUCUGUCAUCAAGAUAUGAAAGCAUAUGAAUAAAUGCUCCUGAUGUUAA